UGCACGUGUGCCAACUCUACACAUGUGAAUGACCAUGGAUGCAGGUCCAAGAGUAGCAUUCCUUCAGAUAAAGUUGUCUAACACCCCUAGUGAAGUACUCCCAAGUACAAAACCUACUACAAGCACAUGCAUACACUCAUAAAGGUAAAGGAUUUAUAGAACUUCACCUGAUCCACAUCAAGAGAUUUGUCAAAACCCUGUACAAAUAAAUAAAUUAUUGCUUUGUAUCUCUUCUAGGUCUCUAUAAGUAGACAAUGGCUAAAGGACUAGCUAGACUUAAACUUCACUGAUGAUUCCUUGUUUCCUCCUGCUUCCCUGUCAGUUUCAGGCUACAUUUUCAAAACAAUAGGUUUAUGAUGCAUAUAAUAUCCAAUAUACUUCUAACCAGUUGGAGUAUCCAGCUUUGUGUGAUGCCUAGAACUAAAAAGAAAUAGGGAAAAAGAGAGAAAAAGAAAGAGAAGGAAAAGAAAAGAUUCACACAACCUGAUGCAUUGGAA